rnacentral:lncRNA from 1 species
UUUUUCCUGCGACGAGGCCCUUUUCGGUUCCUGUUCGAUGCAAUUUUUACACCACUGUGAUCACCGUCCUUUUCUCUAUAGGUUGACCAGAGCAAAACAUCAAAUCGUGACUCGCACCGGAGAAGCCGCCGUACCCGAGAGCUCCACCGCUGGUAAGUCUUAGUUUUUUGUUAUUUUUUGGCCCACCGAGGGCCCUAGGGUUGUUUUAUCACAGGAACC